CUAAUAAAGCAUCGACUAAAGACAUAAGGCUAACUAAAAUAAUUAAUCCACAUGAAGAAAAGCUAUGUAUACAUGGUAACUAAAUCAAGAAUCUAGAACUCUAUGUGUUGAUGACAUAAAUCUAAACAUAUGCGUGAUUUUUCUAUAAUAUUUUGUAACCAAUAAGAUAAACACCAUCGUCAGAAUAAUUCCAGCGUUGGCAGCUCGCAAAUAACAUUUUUACAUAUUGCAUAUGACAAAUAUAUGCAACAACUUGUAAUACAAACCAACUAUGUUUUUGGGAACCAACCCACAACUUGAUAUUAGUGAAAUUUUAUAAGCACCUCUUCCGUAAAUGAUUUCCAUACAACUAACCAAAUGGGAAAGACAGUAUAUGAUUGUAAUAACAUCACUGGAGGAGAGUACAAUCCUAACAACGAAAAGUAUUUAGACAUAUGAUGAUGUUUAACCU
rnacentral:lncRNA from 1 species